CCUGGCGGCCUUAGCGCGGUGGUCCCACCUGACCCCAUGCCGAACUCAGAAGUGAAACGCCGUAGCGCCAAUGGUAGUGUGGGGUCUCCCCAUGCGAGAGUAGGGAACUGCCAGGC
rnacentral:rRNA from 2 species